GACAAGUUCCAGCUGCCCGCCUCGACUCCUGCCCAGCCUGCUUCCUAUGUCUAGUGAAGUGACAAUGGGCUUUCAACUCCAGAAGGGCCGGGCAAGUUUGUCUUUCCCCUGCUGUAGUCUCAGCCCAGAACCAGUGGCUACUGUGAAGAAGGAGGGCAAAAUACUGUCACCGAAUGCCAAGCCAAGACACUUGAGCUUCUUGCUGCAGGCAGCUGGUAGCCACUGAAAAUCUAGGAGGCAAGGACUGACUUGAUCAGGGGAAGACAGACUUUCGUUCCCGAGGCUGUGCACUUGUAGGAAUAGACUCCGGGGAUCAUGACAAUGGAAUCCAAGUACAGUAGCAAUAACAACAAUAGCUAUCACUUCUCGAGAGCUUACUGUGCACCAGGCACUGUGCUAAGAAUUUCACCCGGCUUGUCUGUUGUAAUCCUUGCAACAAGCUCAUGAGAGGUCUUUCCCAGAGAGAGAAGCUGCUCGGCGGGAGGAUGUGGCCAAACUGCUGGAAUCCUGUGCUCCACUCCGGGGGCUGCUUACCCAGGGCCCACUCGCCCUUUCACGGCACAGAAGCUUUGCGGCUUGAAGUGCUGGGAGCACCGUGCUGGCCCCUAGGGCUGCUAAGAGGAGGCAGGAGGUGGAUGAGCUGGGCCUGCCACUGGGGUGGAACAUGUUGCUGGGUUCCCGAGCCUGACCUCCAGCAUCCUCAUCACCACAGAGCCCACUGCAGACGUUGCUGCCUCCUGAGCCUGCCUCUUCAGGGAGAAUGCUCUAGAACUGAAGCUGAGCUUAUGCCGUGAACUUGUCAUAGUAACCACCUCAGGAUGGAAGACUUAAACAAUAGCCCGGGUUGUCCCUAGCUUUAUUAGAGAGAGGCUCCUGAACUGCACUGACACCCUGAAGGGCAAGCCAUCCAUCAUUCACGUCUGUGCUGGGCUGUGACUUGGUGACGCCUUCGGUGUGUUUAGAUAAAUGUGGCUCUUUGCUCCUGUACGAGUGGCCCCAAACUCCUAGCCUUUUGGACCAAUCUGAUGUUUCUGUUUAUUCUUUUGUU